CAAAGACCCAAAGUUCAAGAAGAACAAACUGUGCAAAUGGCAAAAAGUGAGUGAAAUGACACAGAAAAUUAAACGUCAAACUGCAGAGUCCUUGAAGCAGUCUGGGGAUGUUUCGUACUGUUCAGAUCAAGAUAGCGCCGUGCCAUUCGUUGAGUGCAGACUGCAGAGUCAGUCUGCGCCAAAGCGCCCCAGUCAAAUCGCGCAAAAAUAGCAAAGCAAAAAGAUACACAUAAAACACGAACUGCAGCGUCCUUCGAAAUUGAGUCCAGACCUUGCAGUGUGGGAAAGACUGCUGCACUUUCCUCUGGGAGCAGCAAGCCAGAGGGAGAGGGAGGCCGGUCAAACGUAGGCAGAGACAUCCAAGAGGCUUUUAGGCACGCCAAUGGCAGACACGAGAGAUUCUGCGGAUGCUGGAAAUCUUGACUUGAGCAUACAAAACGCCGGAGGAACUCAGCAGGUCGGGUGAGCAGCCAUGGAGAGGAAUAAACAGCCAAUGUUUCGGGCCAGGACCCUUCACGAGAAAGGCAUGUGAAAUCGAAGGAUGUGGGCAAUGUGGAAUCGUGGCAGGUACCGUGAUGUGAGGGAGCUGUGGUGCGGGUGAACAGGUGACACGACUCAACCUUCGUCGCUUGCGGGAGGAAGGCGAGAGCAGGCGGGCAACGUCCAUGCCAAUCACCUGACUGGCAGCUGGGAACCAGUUCUUCAAGAAGGCGGCAUCUCACCAUCCGGAGUACGCCCUCUUCUCAUUGCCCCCAUCCGGAAGGAGGUACAGGAGCCUGAUGACCCACAGUCAACAUUUUCUUCCCCUCUGGACGGUCCAGGAACCCGUGAUCACUCCCUCACUAUUUUGAGAAGGACUACAGACGCUGGAAAUCCAGCGCAACACAAACAAAAUGCUGGAAGAACUCAGCAGGUCAGGCAGCAUCUGCGGAGAGGAAUAAACAGUUGACAUUUCAGGCUGAGACCCUGAUUAGCUCACUAUCCCUCUUCUGCACAACUUAUUCAUGUAUGUGAGUGGCAGGGUGGAGAUACGUCCCUGUCAAGGAGGUGUAAGGUGCUCCUUCCCUCCACCAGCCUGCAGAUCACCACUGAGCCAGGGGUAUCACCUGCUUAGCGCCCACCCCCCCGCCAUCAGGAUCAUGUGACCACGGGAUCAGGUGGUGGAUGGUUGUAUGAGCAGUGGGUGCAUAUCACAAGUCCUGGUUAUGCGACCGCGGACACCGGACAGGCUCUCUUCAAAGAUCGAUCAUGGUUGGGGUCACCCGUCUUGUAAACGCACUGCCCAGAAGAAGGCAACGGCAAACCACUUCUGUAGAAACAUUUUCCAAGAACAAUCAUGGUCAAAAUUACUUGUUACCAUUAAAUAAAUCAUCAUUAUGAUCCGUGCCGUAUGCUGUGGGCGAUCAUGGUCAAAGACCAUGGUUAACGGUAACAAGUCGUUUUUAAUGUCUUUGAAAUGUACUGCUGUCACAAAGCAGCGGAUUUCUCGGUAAAUGUGACCUAUUAAACCUGAUUCUGAUCAGUACGGACACCUCUCUGUAAGUCACGCCAAGCCCCUUCUGCAUCAACCCUGCUCAGUCGCUCCUCACCGAAACACUUGCACCCCGGCUCCAGGGCGGCACGGUGGCGUCGUGGUUAGCGCGACGAUUUACAGUACCAACGAAACGGGUUCAAUUCCCGCCACUGCCUGUAAGGAGUUUCCACGUUCUCCCCGUGAACUGUCCACCAUUAGGCUUGUUUUAAAUCGGGAAAUCGGGGGAUUGAUGGGCGGUGCGGCGAAGGUCCGGCGGGGCCUGUAACCCCGGCUCACCUUGUCGGAGGUGAGUAGAUCCUUAUGGGGCCGUCUCCAAGAGGAAGGAGGCGAUCCCCUCCUUCUGCCCCUUCCCCACCCAACCCCA